UGAAAUCCCCGGGCUUAACCUGGGAACUGCAUUUGGAACUGGAAGACUAGAGUGUGUCAGAGGGGGGUGGAAUUCCACGUGUAGCAGUGAAAUGCGUAGAGAUGUGGAGGAACACCGAUGGCGAAGGCAGCCCCCUGGGAUAACACUGACGCUCAUGCACGAAAGCGUGGGGAGCAAACAGGAUUAGAUACCCUGGUAGUCCACGCCCUAAACGAUGUCAACUAGUUGUUGGGAGAGUCAAUCUCUUGGUAACGUACCUAACGCGUGAAAUUGACCGCCUGGGGAGUACGGCCGCAAGGUUAAAACUCAAAGGAAUUGAC
rnacentral:rRNA from 1 species